AACGUGGCCACUUGCGCUGCUUGGUUAGAAAGGGAAAACUAUAUAAUGAAAAGGAAAUGCCAAAAAUUGAGAAGAGACAAAGCAGGCUGCACGAAACGGGAGUGAGGUCAUUAAUCGUGGAGAAGCCAAAGCAGACGCAAGUGGACUCGUUGACUGCGCACAGCUGCAUAAAAAUUAUAUUGUGAAAAGAGUUAUGAGCAACGCUGAUAUGGACGGACGGACGGACGGCGAGGACCCUGAUAUUCUUAACCCGACAUGCACAUAUAUCGAAUGCCAAACGAGACCAAAUGAAACAGAACACGACUCGGCGAGGAAAUGACGAUUUGCAUACGGCUGUUAUUUUACCUUUUGAGUUCGAAUGAUUCAUCAGAAAAUACCCAGCCCGUGAAAAAAACUGCGGCAGAAAUAAGGCUCAUUAAGUAAUGAAAUAUUAUAGUAUUAUAAUGCCAGACGACGGGCAAUUGUCAAA